rnacentral:rRNA from 1 species
AUACGUAGGGUGCGAGCGUUGUCCGGAAUUACUGGGCGUAAAGAGCUCGUAGGUGGUUUGUCACGUCGUCUAUGAAAUUCCGGGGCUUAACUCCGGGCGUGCAGGCGAUACGGGCAUAACUUGAGUACUGUAGGGGAGACUGGAAUUCCUGGUGUAGCGGCGAAAUGCGCAGAUAUCAGGAGGAACACCGGUGGCGAAGGCGGGUCUCUGGGCAGUAACUGACGCUGAGGAGCGAAAGCAUGGGUAGCGAACAGGAUUAGAUACCCUGGUAGUCCAUGCCGUAAACGGUGGGCGCUAGGUGUAGGGGUCUUCCACGACUUCUGUGCCGUAGCUAACGCAUUAAGCGCCCCGCCUGGGGAGUACGGCCGCAAGGCUAAAACUCAAAGGAAUUGACGGGG